GGGAGUUACAGCAUUUUAUUGCAGCAAGCCCAACCAGUCCGGACGUACAGACUAACAGACAGGAGUUACAGCCGAAUCUGACUGCAAGCCUGAACCAUGAAUCUGACAGUUUUGUUUACACUUCUUUUAAUAUGUUCUCUGGUCGUGUUUGAUUUCGGAUUCGCCGACGCCUGGGGUCGUCGUGGACGUGGUGGACGAGGACGAGGUGGACGUAGAAGGGGUGGUCGAUGUUGUGGUCGCCGUUGGGGACGAAAGGGAUAAUGUGUUACCGAUAUCAGGAAUUGUUGCCAGAAUUUCAGCUGAUGUCAUGGUUUUGAUAGUCACUGUUGUCAUAGUAAUCUAUGAUCGUAAACUGUCCAGUCACAUGUCUCGGUUGGAUGUAAAAUCGUUAAAAUAAAGUUUAUAAAGAACCUUAUUUUAGUAUCUUAUAUUUUCCUCUAUUCGAUGCACCACUACUUAGGCUAGG